rnacentral:lncRNA from 1 species
AUGACAUUAUGUUUGACUAAAAUCUUAAAACUACAUUGUUAACUCUAACUACACAAUUAUGCAAGCAUACUAACCAGUUAAAUAAAGCUGCAUACCAACCUCUUCCAAAUUCUUAGACCACAGAGACUUUUUCCUCAAACUUUUAACAUGUUUGCGUUGGCUUUUCACUUCCUGCUUUAGUAUGUGCAUGUUAUCACCUGCAAAUUAACAGAGCCACAUUCAGCACUGUUAUCAAACGACAACAACAAAACACUGUAAAAUGUAUACUCAUCAAACAGCAUACAGGCUGAAUUGGCAGGUAUCAAUCAGAGGUGCAUACCAAAAGGGUAAAAUACAUUUUGCCAAAAGAAAAAGAGGGGUGAAGAGGCUAAAUGUCAUGGCUGCAUACAGGCUGAAUUGGCAGGUAUCAAUCAGAGGUGCAUACCAAAAGGGUAAAAUACAUUUUGCCAAAAGAAAAAGAGGGGUGAAGAGGCUAAAUGUCAUGGCUAAAGAUAAUAAAGGCAAUCCACUAAAAGGAAUGGAAUAGAAUAGAUUACAUCAGUAGCAUAGGAAGAACUAAAAUUAAGUGGCACAAGUAGUAGCAGUAGCUAUACUCGUGCUUGAAUGCUUGAUGUUCAAAGAUAGAAAUAGGUACUGGAAAUUCAGAGUUAUUUUGCCUUGCCUAGGUACUAUUCUUAUUCACAACUCAGGUUCAUGUUAACAAUAAGCAAAUACAAAUCCAGUCUCUGCUGCUAAGUGUACUUUAAAUCUACAUCAUAUCAGGAAACCUGAAGAACAAUCUUCUAUUACUGGAUUUUCAUUUUGUUCAACCUGAGAAGAACAAAUUUUGAUUAUAUCCCUUCCUUAAAAGAAGUGCCGGACGCAAGAAAAAUUUUUGGCUGAUUUGGACUUGUCAGGUGCAGUUGACUGUCAGAUGAAUCAUCUAGCCCUGGAUAUAUUGGUCAAAGUACACUAGCUGCGGCUCACCUAACGGCAAAUAUGGAGACAGCUGACAGUGAUAGAUGACAACAUAAGAAAGAUACCUUGACCAUGUUUAUACAUGCAUGGAACUGUCCAAGUCAAAUGGACUUCAUCAAUCAAGUGUGUCUCCUAUAAAGUCAGUCACGAGAAGACAUCCAGAAUAUUAUGUUCAAACUAAAGUUCCUAAUGACCUGAAUCCCGAGUGUUCUGUUCAAGAUGAACUUUUCUCAAAUGAUAAAAAAACAAAACAUGAGUAGCACCAACCAGAGGAGGAAAAAGUUGUUUCUUUUUCAAUGUAAUUCUUAAAUGACUCCAUUAUAUUGUCAUGUAAAAGAACUGACCUCUUUGCACAACACUUGAACCAUCCUCUUCAUGCUGUUUACGCUGAUAAUCUUGUUGAAAUCUAUCCAGGGCAUGCAUUUCGUGGUAUAGUUCCUAAAAGUUAGAAAGGUGAUAAAGUUCAUAAAAUUGGAGAAAAGAAAUGCUGAAAAGAACAGAACUGAUAGAUGCCAGGAGAGUGACAGCUAAAUUUGGAUAAAACUAUGCUUAUGGCUUAAAGGCAGACGAAUAUUAAGAUCAUUACUAUUUCACGCAUAUAACUGAUUGAAAGAACAGUUUAGUCAGAGACUCAAGAGUGCGAGCAUAACCUUAGUGACAUACUAACAAUUUGAGACCACUCUCUGACCUCUCUACCUCUUCAUA